UACGUAGGUGGCAAGCGUUAUCCGGAAUUAUUGGGCGUAAAGCGCGCGCAGGUGGUUCUUUAAGUCUGAUGUGAAAGCCCCCGGCUCAACCGGGGAGGGUCAUUGGAAACUGGGGAACUUGAGUAUAGAAGAGGAAGGUGGAAUUCCACGUGUAGCGGUGAAAUGCGUAGAGAUGUGGAGGAACACCAGUGGCGAAGGCGACUUUCUGGUCUAUAACUGACACUGAGGCGCGAAAGCGUGGGGAGCAAACAGG
rnacentral:rRNA from 1 species